GGAUUAGAUACCCUGGUAGUCCACGCCGUAAACGAUGUCAACUAGCCGUUGGGGAUCUUAGUAUCUUUAGUGGCGCAGCUAACGCGAUAAGUUGACCGCCUGGGGAGUACGGCCGCAAGGUUAAAACUCAAAUGAAUUGACGGGGGCCCGCACAAGCGGUGGAGCAUGUGGUUUAAUUCGAUGCAACGCGAAGAACCUUACCAGGACUUGACAUCCAGAGAACUUUCUAGAGAUAGAUUGGUGCCUUCGGGAACUCUGUGACAGGUGCUGCAUGGCUGUCGUCAGCUCGUGUCG
rnacentral:rRNA from 1 species